rnacentral:rRNA from 1 species
CGGGUGAGUAACACGUGGGUGAUCUGCCCUGCACUUCGGGAUAAGCCUGGGAAACUGGGUCUAAUACCGGAUAUGACCACAUGAUGCAUGUCGUGUGGUGGAAAGCUUUUGCGGUGUGGGAUGGGCCCGCGGCCUAUCAGCUUGUUGGUGGGGUUAAGGCCUACCAAGGCGACGACGGGUAGCCGGCCUGAGAGGGUGACCGGCCACACUGGGACUGAGAUACGGCCCAG